GGGCUGUGUCCCUCCUGGAAGUGUUUUGGGACACCCUGAGCAGAGAGCACACUGCUGUGACCCCGUGGUGCACCCUGACCAUCAGACACCUCAGACCUGAGGUUCAGCCUUCUUUCCCUGCAGAAAUGAUGUUUUGGGUCUGUUUUUGAAAUAUGACCAUGAUGUGAGCGUGAUUUGUGGGAGGGAGAAUUUAUCCAGAACUCAGCCCUUCUGGAGGUCUCAGAUGAGAACACAUCCCUCAAAGAUUCUGCUACUGACAACAGCUACUGGUCAGUCUAUGCAGCUCACACAGAGGAGGACUUGGCUCAGCCUUCCCUACAUUUGCCUUGAAUGCAACAUCCAUGCUUGAUCAUAGCUGGAGCUUUCCCUCAUCAAAGGACUCGCUGGUUGCCUCUGAGGCCAUCAGACAAUGGUGGGACACCAGCCCCAGCUCCUGUUGCACUUGGCUCUGUGCUGCGAUGCCAGGACCAGCGUGGGAUUCCACUUGGCACCUCCUGGGAGGGGUGGCCCUGCAGGCAGAGCCAGGGCCAGGCUCCCACAAGCUGUUCCCAUUCCUGCAGCAGCCCACCUGUUCUCUGCUGUGCUGGAAUACCAGCCAGAGCCUUGGCUCUGUUGUUUCAGGCUGUGAGGGGUGGUUCUUAAUCCCUCUAUUCAGAGUGUUUCCAGGAACAGGAGGAGAAGCAUACAGCAUAUGCUCACCUCGGCUCCCAGGAGGGGUGGGGGAGUGUCCCAGCAGCUGCUGGGGUGAUCCUUGUCCUUCUGUCCUUCCACAGCCACGUCUAAAGGUGUGCUCAGGGUGCCUGGGCAUCACUCCACAAGCAGGUGAGCUCCACGAGCAAGAGGCGCCCCUUCCUCCCCUCUGCAGCCAACAGCACAGACAAGGGUGUUGCAGUGCAGAGGGGCUGCAGGAGGGACUCCAUCCUCUCCUGGUUUUCCUUCAGCCGGAUCAGCUCCACAGCAGGGCUGGCAGCACCUCAUAGGCACAGGCUCUCCCUUCAUGGUCACAGUGGGGCUUUUGGGGUAUGGGUGCCUUGGGUGUUUGAAGUUUGUUGGGUUAAGGACUCACAUUUGACCAAAGCAGGUGAGAUCUGGAUGCAGCUUUGGGCCCAAAGCACACGAGAUGUGUGCAGCAGUAGAGUGGGGAGAGCAGACUGAGUGCUGAGCUCCUGGGUCCUGCACCUCCUCAUGUCUGCCCUUGUCACCAAGUCUCCAGCACAUCCACCCUUGAUGUCCUGCCAUUGCUCAUUGCCUGACCCUCAGCUGACCCAGCUGCAGCCAACAGGAACACUGGCAUCACUGGCAUCACUGGCAUCACUGGCACCUCGUCCUCUCCCUUCUCUAGUUCCCUCCUGUGUCCCCUCCUGCCCACCCUGCUCUCGCUGCCUCGCCUGCUCUGGGCACCAUCUGCUGAGUUUGGGGCUGUCUCAUCUCACCAACUGUCGUUUGUCCUGGCUGUGGGGGAAAUGUGCUCACGUUUUGCAUCAAAGGGACCCCUCAGCCCCUCUCUUUGUGGACCAGCCGGGCUGUCGGAGAGGAGCCAAGCACUUGGCACUCAGUAAGCAAUGAGCAUUAAUAAAAGCAUUACAGUGAGGUUAGAGCCUCA
ensembl:lncRNA